rnacentral:rRNA from 1 species
UACGGAGGGAGCUAGCGUUGUUCGGAAUUACUGGGCGUAAAGCGCACGUAGGCGGCUUUGUAAGUUAGAGGUGAAAGCCCGGAGCUCAACUCCGGAACUGCCUUUAAGACUGCAUCGCUUGAAUCCAGGAGAGGUGAGUGGAAUUCCGAGUGUAGAGGUGAAAUUCGUAGAUAUUCGCAAGAACACCAGUGGCGAAGGCGGCUCACUGGCCCGAUACUGACGCUGAGGUGCGAAAGCGUGGGGAGCAAACAGG